GGUCCCGUGAUGCAGCUGGUUAGCAUGUUGUCCUUAUACGUGUACCGUAUAGGUUAUGGAUUAAGUUCCAUGUGGUGAGACAAAUGUCGCGGGUUCGAGCCCCGCCGGGACUA
rnacentral:tRNA from 1 species